CUUCGGACGAUCGGGUGUCAGAUCGGAAAAUCGGAAGCAGGGAUCGUCUUCAGCGCGUCGUUGUGAGUUCGAUGGUGUGUUCGGAUCGUCGAUCGGACUCCGGCGGCCGGAGGCGAGUCGACCGAGCGAUCGAGCGUCUCGGUAAUUAUCUUUAGCCCGUUAAUUUUAGAAAUUCUUGGUUUAAUUGUGUCUAUUGGAUUAUAUUAUGUAUUUGAUGAUAUUUGUGAGUCAAAAAUAAUUAUCUGUCAGUUUGCCUGCCUCGUAUUUUGUGCUGUGUGGCGGAGUCGGGAAAUAGUGAAGUUUGGGGACCCGACUCCCGUUGUUUAAAUUGUUCGAUAUUUGGAGUGUUUUUCUGGCAGGUCCUGGACCCGUUUUUACGGGGGGUAAUGUUCGUGUUGUGAGGGAGGUUCUGCCGGAUUUUCGGUAGAAUUCUCCUGAGUCGAGAUUCUUAGACAGUCAGUCCUAGGAAUCUAGACCUAGGAUCUAUUGUAAUUGUUUCAUCGUUUUGAUAAAUUGUUUUCCGUGACUAGAUUGUCAGUUCGUUCGGCUCGCUCCUACCGAGGCACCGGAGCAGAGCUAGGAGGUCGCC
rnacentral:lncRNA from 1 species